AGAGGUUUAAGUUAAAAAAACUAACAGCCUUCAAAGCUUUAAUUGGUAAACAACCAACCUCUA
rnacentral:tRNA from 1 species